GAUGAACGCUGGCGGCGUGCCUAACACAUGCAAGUCGAACGAGAUGCGUAUUGGAAAGCUUCGGCCGGAAGAUGCGUUAUCUAGUGGCGGACGGGUGAGUAACACGUGGGUAACCUGCCUUAUGGAGGGGGAUAACAGAGAGAAAUCACUGCUAAUACCGCAUAAGCACACAUUGCCGCAUGGCAGAGUGUGAAAAGAUUUAUCGCCAUAAGAUGGACCCGCGUCUGAUUAGCCAGUUGGCAGGGUAAAAGCCUACCAAAGCAACGAUCAGUAGCCGAUCUGAGAGGAUGACCGGCCACAUUGGGACUGAGACACGGCCCAAACUCCUACGGGAGGCAGCAGUGGGGAAUAUUGCACAAUGGGGGAAACCCUGAUGCAGCGACGCCGCGUGAGUGAAGAAGUAGUUCGGUAUGUAAAGCUCUAUCAGCAGGGAAGAUAAUGACAGUACCUGACUAAGAAGCCCCGGCUAACUACGUG
rnacentral:rRNA from 1 species